GGCCUAUACAAUCUUUGGUAAGGGACUAUUUUUACCAACUUCAGCCUUGCAGAUAUACCUGAAAAGCCAAAGAUACUCAUAAUCUUUUUAAGAGGGGAUUUUUAUCUACUAUUAAUUUUUCAUUUGGGGGAAAGUGUCACUUCAGAGGAGAUUGUUGCAUAGUCCUCUAAAUAAAGACACAAGCACAAGGACAAACAGAGGAGGACCUGAUUAAUGCGGACGGUGCUGUCGUGCUGAUACUCAAACAAAGUCCAUCGUGGGAUUCUGCUGCACUUCAUAUUAUCUACAAACUGUGCGUCUUUCCCGAGGAGACCUGAUUCGAGACUGAACGGAAGGGAACAGAGAAGACACGCGCCUGUAUCCACAUCAGCAUCAUCAUCAUCAUCAUCAUCAUCAUCAUCAUCACUUUGGUCUAGUGUACAAACAGCUCCCAAAAAUAAUAAACAGUUAAGGAUGGGUCUACCUUCACCUCUGAAGGUUCCCAAUAAACCCCAGGGCAGCAUCAACCUGGCUCUCCAGUUCCUGCUCUGCU